CGCGCCCUCUGGUGGUCAAUGGCACAAACAUCUCAAGUGGGAACGAUUCAUUUCCGUUGGUCCCUGUUUGCCACGGAGCCCUGCCAUGGGGUAGAGAGAGGCUGUUUGUUACACUGGCCCACAGUGAGGAGGAGAAAGGAGGGUCUGAGAGAGCAGCUAACACGCCCUCUACCGGAGGAACGCUGAGCUCUAUAUGACAUCUCUGAUUUGCUGUCACAGUGUGUUAUCUAAAUAACUCUGAGAGGGCAAGGACACAGAACCUGGUAACUUUUGGAGAAUCUCCAAGUGAACAAUCCUGCUGGAGACCAUGUUGUUCUGGACCAGAAAGUCAGCCAGAUCCCUUUUGGAUUUUCCCUAAGGAUCUUGCGCCAUGUGUGAAAGCUGGAACAUUUUCUCCAACGGCUCUCAAGAGACAACAAUUGUCUUUAGGUGAAUAAAUGAUACAAUGGCCCAAGGGA